rnacentral:rRNA from 1 species
AUUGAACGCUGGCGGCAGGCCUAACACAUGCAAGUCGAGCGGAUGAGAAAAGCUUGCUUUUCGAUUCAGCGGCGGACGGGUGAGUAAUGCCUAGGAAUCUGCCUGUUAGUGGGGGAUAACUCGGGGAAACUCGGGCUAAUACCGCAUACGUCCUACGGGAGAAAGUGGGGGAUCUUCGGACCUCACGCUAACAGAUGAGCCUAGGUCGGAUUAGCUAGUAGGUGAGGUAAUGGCUCACCUAGGCGACGAUCCGUAACUGGUCUGAGAGGUUGAUCAGUCACACUGGAACUGAGACACGGUCCAGACUCCUACGGGAGGCAGCAGUGGGGAAUAUUGGACAAUGGGCGAAAGCCUGAUCCAGCCAUGCCGCGUGUGUGAAGAAGGUCUUCGGAUUGUAAAGCACUUUAAGUUGGGAGGAAGGGUAUUCACCUAAUACGUGGGUACUUUGACGUUACCAACAGAAUAAGCACCGGCUAACUCUGUGCCAGCCGCCGCCGUAAUAC